rnacentral:rRNA from 1 species
CCUACGGGAGGCAGCAGUGGGGAAUAUUGCACAAUGGGGGAAACCCUGAUGCAGCAACGCCGCGUGAGUGAAGAAGUCAUUCGUGAUGUAAAGCUCUAUCAGCAGGGAAGAAAAUGACGGUACCUGAGUAAGAAGCCCCGGCUAACUACGUGCCAGCAGCCGCGGUAAUACGUAGGUGGCAAGCGUUGUCCGGAUUUACUGGGUGUAAAGGGCGUGUAGCCGGGCUGACAAGUCAGAUGUGAAAUCCGGGGGCUCAACCCCCGAACUGCAUUUGAAACUGUUGGUCUUGAGUAUCGGAGAGGCAG